rnacentral:rRNA from 1 species
UAGCUAUGUAUGGACGGGAUAAGUGCUGAAAGCAUCUAAGCAUGAAGCCCCCCUCAAGAUGAGAUUUCCCAACUUCGGUUAUAAGAUCCCUCAAAGAUGAUGAGGUUAAUAGGUUCGAGGUGGAAGCAUAGCGAUAUGUGGAGCUGACGAAUACUAAUCGAUCGAAGACUUAAUCAA